rnacentral:rRNA from 1 species
GACGAACGCUGGCGGCGUGCUUAACACAUGCAAGUCGAACGGAAAGGCCCUGCUUUUGUGGGGUGCUCGAGUGGCGAACGGGUGAGUAACAAGUGAGUAACCUUCCCUUGACUUUGGGAUAACUUCAGGAAACUGGGGCUAAUACCGGAUAGGAGCUCCUGCUGCAUGGUGGGGGUUGGAAAGUUUCGGCGGGUGGGGAUGGACUCGCGGCUUAUCAGCUUGUUGGUGGGGUAGUGGCUUACCAAGGCUUUGACGGGUAGCCGGCCUGAGAGGGUGACCGGCCACAUUGGGACUGAGAUACGGCCCAGACUCCUACGGGAGGCAGCAGUGGGGAAUAUUGCACAAUGGGCGGAAGCCUGAUGCAGCAACGCCGCGUGCGGGAUGACGGCCUUCGGGUUGUAAACCGCUUUCGCCUGUGACGAAGCGUGAGUGACGGUAAUGGGUAAAGAAGCACCGGCUAACUACGUG